rnacentral:rRNA from 1 species
AGCGGACGCUGGCGGCAGGCUUAACACAUGCAAGUCGAACGGUCCUCCGGGAUAGUGGCGGACGGGUGAGUAACACGUGGGAACGUACCCUUAGGUUCGGAACAACACAGGGAAACUUGUGCUAAUACCGGAUAAGCCCUUCGGGGGAAAGAUUUAUCGCCUUUGGAGCGGCCCGCGUCUGAUUAGCUUGUUGGUGAGGUAAUGGCUCACCAAGGCUACGAUCAGUAGCUGGUCUGAGAGGAUGGCCAGCCAAACUGGGACUGAGACACGGCCCAGACUCCUACGGGAGGCAGCAGUGGGGAAUCUUGCGCAAUGGGCGAAAGCCUGACGCAGCCAUGCCGCGUGGAUGAUGAAGGUCUUAGGAUUGUAAAAUCCUUUCACCGGGGACGAUAAUGACGGUACCCGGAGAAGAAGCCCCGGCUAACUUCGUGCCAGCCGCCGCAGUAA